rnacentral:lncRNA from 1 species
AGACCAAACUAACGAACAAAAAAAAGAUCCAAAAGAACUUGUUCAUACCACAAAUAAAGAAGAUGAAAUCAACGAAUGUUAUAAAAAACAAAUUGAAAAAGAAGAUAGUAAUAUAGAAUGUGAUAUAAUAAAUAAAGAGUUAACGAAAUCUGAAAAAAUAAUAGUUGAUAAUGUUAGUGAUAAUAACAAUAUUAAUAAUAAUAGUGGUAAUAACGAUAAGUCUAAAAAUGAAAAAAAAAUACGAGCAUAGAAGUACAAGUAGGUACUGUGACUGUUCAAGAUAAUGAAAAUAUGACCAUAAAAAAUUCUGAAUUCCAAGAAAAUUUAAAUCAUAAAACAAAUGAACAAAAUAUAAUUACCGUUCAUAAUUAUACUCCUAAUAAUUCUGAGGGAAAGACAAUAUUUAAUGAUAAAUUUGAUGAUGAAAAAUUUGACGAUGAUAAAUUUGAUGAUGAAAAAUUUGACGAUGAUAAAAUUAAUGAUGAAAAUUUUGACGAUGAUAAAAUUAAUGAUGAAAAUUUUGACGAUGAUAAAUUUAAUGAUGAAAAUUUUGACGAUGAUAAAUUUGAUGAUGAAAAAUUUGACGAUGAUAAAUUUAAUGAUGAAAAAAUUGACGAUGAUAAAUUUAAUGAUGAAAAAUUUGAUGAUAACAUUUUUUUUGAUAAUAACUUUUCUGAUUUUGAGAAAUCUGAUGACGAUGUAAAUAAAAAAAAAAUAAGUUAAUAUAUAUAUACAAUGACAUGAAGAGUUAUGAAGAAGAGUUUUUAAAUAUUUUUGAACAUUUUUAUGAAAACGUAGAAGAAUAUAAUUUUAUUAAAAAAGAAGAGAAAUACCAUAUAAAGGAUAUCGAUUUUAAUUCUAUCGAGUCCAUAUCUAACUUUAUAAAUAACAAUAAUAACAAUAAUAACAAUAAUAAUGAUAAAAAUGAUAAAAAUAAUAAUGAUAAUAAUAGUAAUAUACAUAGUGCUGAUAACAUUCCUAUAGAAUUAUACUUAACUGAAAAUAUAAAUUCUUUUUUACAAGAACAUCAUGAAUCUUUUAAAAAAAUAAAAUUGAAUAAAAAUUAUUUUAAUAUUGAAAAUUAUGAGAACAAUAUCCCACCAACUCCUAAUCAACAAAUUUUCAAAGAAUAUCAAAAAAAGUGUAUAGAAGCAAAUAAUUGUGUCAAAAGGAAAGGAAAAAAAAAAGUAUGUAUAAGUAUGUAUAUCGAUAUAAAUGAUGAGGAUGAAAAAAAACAUACCGCAAAAAUCAUAUUUUAAUAUAUCAAAAUAUGUUAGUAUGACUUAAAUGCUCUUUUUUUUUUUUUUUUUUUUUUUUUUUUUUUUUUUUUUUUAAUUUUUUUAUUUGUAUUAAAACAGAGUAUAACUAUUAGACAGUUAUAUAUAUAUAUAUAUAACAAAGUAGAACCGAUAGUUUUUCUUUCUUAAUCGAAAAUUAUAUAAAAAUAAUGUAAAAAUAAGAUAAAAAUACAAUGUUGAAAAUUUUGUUUAUUGCAAAAUUUUUAUUAAUAUAUAAGAAUGCAACAAUAAAAAGUUUAUCAUUUUCUAUUUAUAUUUAACU